rnacentral:rRNA from 1 species
UACGUAGGAGGCAAGCGUUGUCCGGAAUUACUGGGCGUAAAGCGCGUGUAGGUGGUGGGGCAAGUCUGCUGUGAAAGCGCCUGGCUUAACCGGGCGAGGUCGGCGGAAACUGUCCGACUCGAGGACGGUAGAGGGGGGUGGAAUUCCCGGUGUAGUGGUGAAAUGCGUAGAGAUCGGGAGGAACACCUGUGGCGAAGGCGGUUCUCUGGGCCUUACCUGACGCUGAGGAGCGAAAGCGUGGGGAGCGAACAGG